rnacentral:rRNA from 1 species
GAUGAACGCUGGCGGCGUGCCUAACACAUGCAAGUCGAACGGAGUUACGAGAGCUUGCUUUUGUAACUUAGUGGCGGACGGGUGAGUAAUGUAUGAGCAACCUGCCUUUCAGAGGGGGACAACAGUUGGAAACGACUGCUAAUACCGCAUAAUGUAUUUUGGGGGCAUCCCCGGGAUACCAAAGGAGCAAUCCGCUGAAAGAUGGGCUCAUAUCUGAUUAGCUAGUUGGUGGGGUAACGGCCUACCAAGGCUGCGAUCAGUAGCCGGACUGAGAGGUUGAACGGCCACAUUGGGACUGAGAUACGGCCCAGACUCCUACGGGAGGCAGCAGUGGGGAAUAUUGGGCAAUGGGCGAAAGCCUGACCCAGCAACGCCGCGUGAAGGAAGAAGGUCUUCGGAUUGUAAACUUCUUUUAUGAGGGACGAAGGACGUGACGGUACCUCAUGAAUAAGCCACGGCUAACUACGUGCCAGCCGCCGCCGUAAAAC